UCCGAGUUGACCCCGGCAGUCUCCUGCGAGUCCCCGCCAUUACGCGCUGGCAACACAGGACAAGGGUUGCGCUCGUUGCGGGACUUAACCCAACAUCUCACGACACGAGCUGACGACAGCCAUGCACCACCUGUAUACCGACCACAAGGGGGGCCGUAUCUCUACGGCUUUCCGGUAUAUGUCAAACCCAGGUAAGGUGGGGAUGACGUGGAACGGUUGGUU
rnacentral:misc_RNA from 1 species